UUGGCCUCGGCCUUCUUUCUUUCCUCCUCCAAGGCGGCCCUCAGAUCUAUCGAGGUUUGUCCCUCCUUCUACAGUGCCUCUUGGAGACUCGUGACCUCAGUGAUCUUCUCCUUGAGGCGGGCGGCCUCAGCCAGGUGACCUUCCUCCACCUGGGUUGCUUCCUUCUUGGUAUUAUUCAUCGCCUCGAUGUUGGUGAUGAGUUGGUGUC
rnacentral:lncRNA from 1 species